rnacentral:rRNA from 1 species
UACGAAGGGGGCUAGCGUUGCUCGGAAUCACUGGGCGUAAAGGGUGCGUAGGCGGGUCUUUAAGUCAGGGGUGAAAUCCUGGAGCUCAACUCCAGAACUGCCUUUGAUACUGAAGAUCUUGAGUUCGGGAGAGGUGAGUGGAACUGCGAGUGUAGAGGUGAAAUUCGUAGAUAUUCGCAGGAACACCAGUGGCGAAGGCGGCUCACUGGACUGGUACUGACGCUGAUGCGCGAAAGCGUGGGGAGCAAACAGG